rnacentral:rRNA from 1 species
UACGUAGGGUGCAAGCGUUGUCCGGAAUUAUUGGGCGUAAAGAGCUCGUAGGCGGUCUGUCGCGUCGGCUGUGAAAACCUGGGGCUUAACUCCGGGCCUGCAGCCGAUACGGGCAGACUAGAGUUCGGCAGGGGAGACUGGAAUUCCUGGUGUAGCGGUGAAAUGCGCAGAUAUCAGGAGGAACACCAAUGGCGAAGGCAGCACUCUGGGACGUGACUGACGCUGAGACGCGAAAGCGUGGGGAGCAAACAGG